ACAGCAGUCGCCACGGUAAUACAGAGGGUGCAAGCGUUAAUCGGAAUUACUGGGCGUAAAGCGCGCGUAGGUGGUUUGUUAAGUUGGAUGUGAAAUCCCCGGGCUCAACCUGGGAACUGCAUCCAAAACUGGCAAGCUAGAGUAUGGUAGAGGGUGGUGGAAUUUCCUGUGUAGCGGUGAAAUGCGUAGAUAUAGGAAGGAACACCAGUGGCGAAGGCGACCACCUGGACUGAUACUGACACUGAGGUGCGAAAGCGUGGGGAGCAAACAGGAUUAGAUACCCCUGUAGUCCCUGUCUCUUAUAC
rnacentral:rRNA from 1 species